rnacentral:rRNA from 1 species
UACGAAGGGGGCUAGCGUUGCUCGGAAUCACUGGGCGUAAAGCGCACGUAGGCGGAUUGCUAAGUCAGGGGUGAAAUCCUGGAAGCUCAACUCCAGAACUGCCUUGAUACUGGCGAUCUUGAGUCCGGGAGAGGUGAGUGGAACUCCGAGUGUAGAGGUGAAAUUCGUAGAUAUUCGGAAGAACACCAGUGGCGAAGGCGGCUCACUGGCCCGGUACUGACGCUGAUGUGCGAAAGCGUGGGGAGCAAACAGG